rnacentral:lncRNA from 1 species
GAUAUAUAGAUCGUGUAGAUGCUGAUGGAGGGAAGAACAAAGCCAUACGUCAGAAGAAUAUUAGUAUAUGCGCGUUCGUCAGAUUUUAUACAAAGAUGAUGGAGUUUCAUCUUCUUGCAGAAUAUUAUUCUAAAGGAGAAAUCAUAUUAUCCGAGGCAAGUAGCUGCUUUGCUAAAUUUCCUGAUCUCUCCUUAUUGUUGUCUUGCUUGAUUAUCUGGUAAUAUCAUUGCACCUUGAUAUUUGUUGAUCCUCUGUUGAUCCUUGAAAGAGGGAUGUGUUUUCCUCAUAAUCCAUUUGUUGAUGGAAUCAGAGUAUUUUGGAGGAACUCAUGAAAAGCCAUGAGUGUAUUGUCUUUGACCGAUACUUCAGUGGUCCUAAUGUUGAUUCAAACACACAUCCAUCUAUAUUGGUGUCACGACGGCAAACUUAUUGUACCGGUCACGGUUCAGGUAUGGGACUGUCUGGGCUCUCCAUUAAGGUCGGAUCUUGUUCGGGAACGUGUCGGUGAUGGAUCCGUAGGAGCGACCGACAUAAGUAGGUACAGGUGUCCGGGUCUUAGUGGGUAAAAGAGCUCUGCUCUUCUGGAACCUGUGUGGUUCUAGUCGAGGCUGUCGACGUCGGAGUACCCCUCUUAAGAGCGUAAAAGUGUGAAAUUUCACCCCUGUGACUCCCGGGUUGGGAAGCUUGCGGUCAUGUGUGACGCCAAUAGAUUCCUUGCUAUUUUUACUAAAUCUGGUAUUUUGUUCUUUUGUCCAUUUACAUCAAAAUACGAUUCCAAUGGUUGUUACAUUGUUAUCCUUUGAAUUCAGUUCGUCUGUUGAUCUACACCAUCAUACCAUUGCUCCUUAUUGAGUAGUGAAGUAUUUGCUUGCUGAGUAUGAUUUAUCGUACUCACCCUUGUCUCCUCCGUCUUUUUAGAUGCAGCCGAUGUAACUUAAGUAUGCCCAGAAGAUGUCAUCCAAGAAUAGGCUGGACCAGUGGGUGGGAAACGACUAGAGAUUUUAAUGUAUUUUGUCUAUUUGUAUAUGUAAAGAAAUUUCUGUAGUCAAUAUAUAUGAGCUUUUGUGAUCCACUGAUGGUUAAUGCUUAAUUAAUCACGCCUUGCGUGACUAUAGUCCUCCUGGUCUAUAGGCGCGCGGCGGCUGUCUCGCC